rnacentral:rRNA from 1 species
CCUGAGUAGGGCGGGACACGAGAAAUCCUGUCUGAAUCGGCCGGGACCAUCCGGCAAGGCUAAAUACGAGAGAGUGACCGAUAGUGAACCAGUACCGUGAGGGAAAGGUGAAAAGAACCCCGGGAGGGGAGUGAAAGAGAACCUGAAACCAUAUGCCUACAAGAAGUCAGAGCCCGUUAAAGGGUGAUGGCGUGCCUUUUGUAGAAUGAACCGGCGAGUUACUGUAUGGAGCGAGGUUAAGCAGGAUAUGCGGAGCCGAAGCGAAAGCGAGUCUUAAGAGGGCGAGAGUUGCAUGCAGUAGACCCGAAACCGGGUGAUCUAGCCAUGACCAGGUUGAAGUUGGGGUAAAACCCGAUGGAGGACCGAACCGACCCCCGUUGAAACGUUGGCGGAUGAGUUGUGGCUAGGGGUGAAAUUCCAAUCGAACCCGGAGAUAGCUGGUUCUCCCCGAAAUAGCUUUAGGGCUAGCGUCGAGGUAAGUUGCGUGAAGGUAGAGCACUGAAUAUGUGAUGGCCCCAUCUCGGGGUACUGAGCAUAAUCAAACUGCGAAUGUCACGCCAACAUGCUCGGCAGUCAGACAGCGGGUGAUAAGGUCCGUUGUCAAGAGGGAAACAGCCCAGACCAUCAGCUAAGGUCCCAAAAUGUAUGCUAAGUGGAAAAGGAUGUGGAGAUGUACAGACAACUAGGAGGUUGGCUCAGAAGCAGCCAUCCUUUAAAGAGUGCGUAACAGCUCACUAGUCGAAUGACUCUGCGCCGAUAAUUUACCGGGGCUAAGCAUACUACCGAAGCUAUGGAUCCCAAGGGAUGGUAGGGGAGCGUUCCAUGAACGGAGAAGUACGACCGAAAGGACGUGUGGAGAUCAUGGAAGAGAGAAUGCCGGUGUGAGUAGCGGAACGUGGGUGAGAAUCCCACGCACCGAAAACCCAAGGUUUCCAGAGGAAGGUUCGUCCGCUCUGGGUAAGUCGGGACCUAAGGCGAGGCCGAAAGGCGUAGUCGAUGGACAACAGGUAGAGAUUCCUGUACCCGUAUAUAUGUGAAGGAAUGACGGAGAGAGGAAGCUGCAGCCAGCGGCUGGAAGAGCUGGUGCAAGCGAGAUAUCGGGAUGGCAGGCAAAUCCACCAUCCGAAACGAGAAGGCGUGAAGCGUACGGAAAGCUACGGCGAGUACGGAAGGCAGUGGAGGAACUUCCAAGAAAAGUUUCUAACGUUAAGUAUAUAUGGCCCGUACCGAAAAUGGACACACAUGGGUGAGGAGAGAAUCCUAAGGUGAGCGAGAGAACUAUAGCUAAGGAACUCUGCAAAAUGACUCCGUAACUUAGGGAGAAGGAGUGCUCAUAGAGAUAUGAGCCGCAGUGAAACGGCCCAAGCGACUGUUUACCAAAAACACAGCUCUCUGCUAAGCCGCAAGGCGAAGUAUAGGGGGUGACGCCUGCCCGGUGCUGGAAGGUUAAGGGGAGGGGUUAACGCAAGUGAAGCCCUGAACUGAAGCCCCAGUAAACGGCGGCCGUAACUAUAACGGUCCUAAGGUAGCGAAAUUCCUUGUCAGGUAAGUUCUGACCCGCACGAAAGGCGUAACGAUUUGGGCGCUGUCUCAGCUGUAGACUCGGUGAAGUCUUAGUACCUGUGAAGAUGCAGGUUACCCGCGACUAGACGGAAAGACCCCAUGGAGCUUCACUGCAGGUUGAUAUUGGGAUUUGAUGCAGCAUGUACAGGAUAGGUAGGAGGCAAAGAGAUGGAUACGCCAGUAUUCAAGGAGCCGCUGUUGGGAUACUACCCCUGUUGUAUUGGAUUUCUAACCGGACGACGUAGAGCCGUUGACGGGACAGUGUCAGUCGGGCAGUUUGACUGGGGCGGUCGCCUCCCAAAGAGUAACGGAGGCGCCCAAAGAUACCCUCAGCUUGGAUGGAAACCAAGCGCAGAGUGCAAAGGCAAAAGGGUGUUUGACUGCGAGACCCACAAGUCGAGCAGGGACGAAAGUCGGGCUUAGUGAUCCGGCGGUGCUGAAUGGAAAGGCCGUCGCUCAACGGAUAAAAGCUACCCUGGGGAUAACAGGCUGAUCUCCCCCAAG